rnacentral:lncRNA from 1 species
CUGAGUGGGAACCCCAGGCUUUAUUGGCUCAAAGUUCUCCUCAGGAGCCUGGUCGGCUGGGACUGGACGUUCCAGGGUGGGCACUCCCGGGCCUGAGCUAGGAGAAGGGAGGGGGAAAAAAUGAGAAUUUUAGGUCACAUGGAGGGUUUCUGGAGUAUGAUCCCUGACAGGGUUAAAGGUGAGUAGUUCUGAAACUACUUUCAAAGACACGCUGUUUGAUCAGUAAAUAUUUAUAGAGCCAGAUGAUGAUGAAAUAUGUGUCAGAUGCCCCCUAUGUGUCAGGCACCACUUGCUGCACUUCUCACUGGUUAAAAAACAACACACCAAUAACUAGAACCACCAUCAAGAACGAGGCAUGAUAAAACGAAACUUUCCAUGCACUGCGGGCAGAAAAAAACAGCUGGCGGAGAACAGGUGACCGGUUUCACCUUCAUCUUUCAAAAGGACGCCACUGCCAGCCCCACCCCUUGUCCCGCCCGCCGCAGGACAGUCUCAAAGCGACAUUACCUCCAGGUUCCCUCUGGCCUUCCGAAGGACCUUGUGUGUCACAACCACUAAGGAGAGAGGAAAGAAUGGGGCGAUUAGAGACGGGUGCCCUGCAAGUUGGCAGACCAGCCAAGGGCAGGGGGGAGGCCUCCAGCCCCAAGUGGCUCAGGCCUGCGGAAAGCCCCGCAGCAUCCAGACCCAGAGGUGUCUACCUCAUCACAUACCCGGGACCAAGUGACCCGUCAGAGAGGGUGGGCCAGAGCCCCUCCUCAAGUCUAAGCCGAAGGCAGGGCGUGCGAUACCACGUUACAGAUGAAACAGGGCCAGCAGGAUCGGGGGAUCCCUGAGCCCACCUCUGCGGGCUGGGCCGCGGUGCGGGGAGGGGAGAGACCUACGCCCAUCUCGGAGCCCUCAUCCCCCAGAGAAGCCGCUCUGGGAAUGGGGAGUGCCCGCUCCAAGCAAACGCAGGGGUGCAGGCCAGGGCCAGGCAGGAGGGCACUGCAGUCCCGGGGCGGGCGCCUGACCACAGGGAGGACGGACGGACGGACACAGGGCGGCUCCCUGCGCUGGCCGCUCGCUCCACCUGGAGCAGCGGGUAGGGCGGGACCACCUCGCAGCUCUCUGGGCUCCGUGGCUGCAGGCAGAGGCCCAGCGCGUGGGAACCCAUGGGCAGGCGGAGGGCCCGCCUCGGGGCACAGCUGUAAAGGAAGACAGCUUCUCCCCGCAGCCCGUCUGUCCCCCAGACGCCAGGAGCAGAGCGAAGGCCACCACUGA